rnacentral:rRNA from 1 species
CAGUCGCCGCGGGAAUACGAAGGGGGCUAGCGUUGUUCGGAAUUACUGGGCGUAAAGCGCACGUAGGCGGAUAUUUAAGUCAGGGGUGAAAUCCCAGAGCUCAACUCUGGAACUGCCUUUGAUACUGGGUAUCUUGAGUAUGGAAGAGGUUAGUGGAAUUGCGAGUGUAGAGGUGAAAUUCGUAGAUAUUCGCAGGAACACCAGUGGCGAAGGCGGCUAACUGGUCCAUAACUGACGCUGAGGUGCGAAAGCGUGGGGAGCAAACAGGAUUAGAUACCCCUGUAGUCCCUGUCUCUUAUAC